CCUACGGGAGGCAGCAGUGAGGAAUAUUGGUCAAUGGGCGGGAGCCUGAACCAGCCAAGUCGCGUGAGGGAAGACGGUCCUAUGGAUUGUAAACCUCUUUAGGCGGGGAGCAAUGCCGGGCGCGCGUGCCCGGAGGGAGAUUACCCGCAGAAUAAGCAUCGGCUAACUCCGUGCCAGCAGCCGCGGUAAUACGGAGGAUGCGAGCGUUAUCCGGAUUUAUUGGGUGUAAAGGGAGCGUAGGCGGGGAUGCAAGUUGGGUGUCAAAACUACCGGCUCAACUGGUAGUCGCACUCAAAACUGCAGCUCUUGAGUGAAGUAGAGGCAGGCGGAAUUCCUAGUGUAGCGGUGAAAUGCGUAGAUAUCGAGAGGAACACUCGUGGCGAAGGCGGGUUCCUGGACAUUAACUGACGCUGAGGCACGAAGGCCAGGGGAGCGAAAGGGAUUAGAUACCCGUGUAGUC
rnacentral:rRNA from 1 species